UUGACCUCGAAUCAGGUAGGAAUACCCGCUGAACUUAAGCAUAUCAAUAAGCGGAGGAAAAGAAACCAACCGGGAUUACCUCAGUAACGGCGAGUGAAGCGGUAACAGCUCAAAUUUGAAAUCUGGCUCUUCCGGAGUCCGAGUUGUAAUUUGUAGAAGAUGCUUUGGGUUGUGGGUUCGGCCUAAGUUCCUUGGAACAGGACGUCAUAGAGGGUGAGAAUCCCGUAUGUGGCCGAGGCCCGCGCCUAUGUAAAGCUCUUUCAACGAGUCGAGUUGUUUGGGAAUGCAGCUCAAAAUGGGUGGUAAAUUUCAUCUAAAGCUAAAUAUGGGCCAGAGACCGAUAGCGCACAAGUAGAGUGAUCGAAAGAUGAAAAGCACUUUGGAAAGAGAGUUAAACAGUACGUGAAAUUGUUGAAAGGGAAGCGCUUGCAACCAGACUUGGGCGCUGUCGAUCACCCCGAGUUCUCUCGAGUGCACUCGACAGCGCACAGGCCAGCAUCGGUUCGGGUGGCUGGAUAAAGGCCGUAGGAACGUGGCUCCCUUCGGGGAGUGUUAUAGCCUACGGUGCCAUGCAGCCCAGCCGGACCGAGGACCGCGCCUUCGGGCUAGGAUGCUGGCGUAAUGGUUGUAAGCGACCCGUCUUGAAACACGGACCAAGGAGUCUAACAUCUAUGCGAGUGUUUGGGUGGUAAACCCAUACGCGGAAUGAAAGUGAACGUA
rnacentral:rRNA from 1 species